CUUGGCUCGGCCACGUUGCCGGUGGACCGCAGGAGGCACCCUAGGCGGCACUCAGGCUGCCUGCCCACGCCAGGAAAUGGGAGCUGGGUGGGUUUGAGGGCUUUUGAGUUUCUUGGUCAUCGACUGUGUGCCGGGGAGGUUUCCGUAUAAGCAGGGAUUUCUUGGGUGUGAAAGAGAAAGGCCUCGCCAUAGGUAGGCAUGUGUGCCUACCGCAUCACAGUUGAGAUCGAGUCAACGUAGGAGUAAAGUGCCAUUUAAGGUUUAGAUCUCGGUAAUUGUUUCAAGAUGCGGAACUCGGCGAAUGAGUGUCAUCGACUUUGCAGGUGAAAGCUGGAUGCUUGAAGUAAAGACUACUGCUAGCUGAACACUGGGAGCACAAAGGUGACUAAGGAUGUCCUUGAUGAGGAAUUCAAAAACAUCAUAGGAAAUCUUGACAAGAGUUGCUUGGAUCAUUUAAAACUCCCAGGAGCCUGAGGGGCACUAAAAUUAGUGCUUUUGGACAGUCUAUAAAUAAACACACCUAAAACAGUAGGCCUACAAAUAAAUAUUUCAUUGUGCUUCUUGAA